AGCAGCCGCGGUAAUUCCAGCUCCAAUAGCGUAUAUUAAAGUUGUUGCAGUUAAAAAGCUCGUAGUUGAAUUUCGGGAUCAUCAGGUUGGUCGUGCCUCUGGUAUGUACUGGUCUCGGUGGUUCCUACUUCUUGAAGAACCGUAAUGCCAUUAAUUUGGUGUUGCGGGGAAACAGGACUGUUACUUUGAAAAAAUUAGAGUGUUUAAAGCAGGCAAUCGCUUGAAUACAUUAGCAUGGAAUAAUGAAAUAGGACGUUCGAUCCUAUUUUGUUGGUUUCUAGGAUUGACGUAAUGAUUAAUAGGGAUAGUUGGGGGCAUUAGUAUUCAAUUGUCAGAGGUGAAAUUCUUGGAUUUAUUGAAGACUAACUACUGCGAAAGCAUUUGCCAAGGAUGUUUUCAUUAAUCAAGAACGAAAGUUAGGGGAUCGAAGACGAUCAGAUACCGUCGUAGUCUUAACCAUAAACUAUGCCGACUAGGGAUCGGAUGAUGUUAAUUUU
rnacentral:rRNA from 1 species